AGCUAGUGUCAUAUUUCCAUGUUUUAUACUCACUCAAUAUAUUGAAGAGGUGGAUCCACAGCACAACGGUAAUAAUACAUCAAGUAUGAUAAGUGUACAAGUUUCUUCCAGCGCAGACAUGAUAAAACAUGGCAGGCUUCGGAGUGGAAGGGAUGUGAGGAAAAGAGCGACCCGCAGCUGAAGCGCCUUUCUCCAUGUGUAUUGCUGAGAGCAAGGAUUUGUAAUGGGCACCAGCCCUGCUUUCUCAUCUGCUGGAGUAGACUCCGCCAUGAAGUUUUAACUAUGAUCUGGGCGCAGAGGAUGAAUGAAGAGGACGCCAGGCUGCCAUCCACUCAUACUGCGCCUAAUGCAAGCUGGCAAUUCAAUUAUUUGCAGAGGAAUAUUUUAAGUAAGGUCUUCCAUCCGUGCCACACAGUGUAUUAACCCAGCAGCCCUCACAAGCCUGCCCCAGCACCCACACACCUAUCCAAUUACCGUAGUGUCCAAAUCUAUGAAACCCUGAGCACAGCCACCUAUUUGUCAGAGCUGUGUGCACUAAGUGCAGUGCCAUGUCCAGGUGCGGUUUUUCUACCAUGCGUUUGAUUUCUUUUCUCAUAGUUAAAAUCAGUGCUGUGAAUUUUCCGUGUUGCAUAUACCUAGCAGUAUUCUGGUAAUUAUUAUUUUUGCAGAUAUUUUUCCAAUAUUUUAGUAAUAUUGGAAUGACAUCCCGGAACCGCCAUCUGCCAUGACAAAUAUCAGCGACCUGAGAGCUACCAAAUAUUUUUAUGACUUUGAAGCCGGGGCUGCAGAAAUCCAAUGCUUUCUAUGGAUUUGCUCCUGCAGCCUUGUCAUUGAAACAGCUGUUUAUUUCACUUGGAAAACCAAUAAUUGCACUGAAGACCUGAAUCAUUAUCUAUUUCCAGCAAUUAGUUAAGCUGCUUUCAUAAGUUCAUUUUAAGAAGCGGCUCUGCCUUCAGCUCUCAUGUGCAGAGCACUACAGGAUCUGUUCUCCAUCUCCACUGGAUCUGCGGCGAUCUGCGGCUGUUUUCACUGGAUAUUAGUAAUACCAAAGGAGAAAAGACUGUAUUUCAGAUACUAAAUUUAAUAUUGUUUUAUUACAUUUUAAACAUUUUUAUUUUUAGAAAAUCUGCAGUGUAUUAUAUGUUAUAACAGCAGCACAAUUU